AUUGAACGCUGGCGGCGUGCUUAACACAUGCAAGUCGAUCGGCAACAGGCGUAGCAAUACGUGCUGACGAGCGGCGAACGGGUGCGUAAUACAUCGGAAUCUGCCUCGUAGUGGGGAAUAACCCGGCGAAAGCCGGGCUAAUGCCGCAUACGAUCCACGGAUGAAAGCGGGGGACCGUAAGGCCUCGCGCUAUGAGAUGAGCCGAUGUCGGAUUAGCAGUUGGUGAGGUAACGGUUCACCAAGACGACGAUCCGUAGCUGGUCUGAGAGGACGGCCAGCCACACUGGGACUGAGACACGGCCCAGACUCCUACGGGAGGCAGCAGUGGGAAUAUUGGACAAUGGGGGAAACCCUGAUCCAGCGACGCCGCGUGUGUGAAGAAGGCCUGCGGG
rnacentral:rRNA from 1 species